UAUAUUGCAUGUUCUGAUUAUUCUGUCCAGAUUAUGGUAUUGCUUAUACUGAAAACCCUUCUCAAAUAAACUCUUAUUUCUGAGAAUGAAACCCAUGAUUGUUUUCUACUUUCAAGUCUUUGAAAAGCCAAACACCCAAAUACUCCCAAUUUCUAUUACAAGUAUUCUGAUCCAUCCCUUCCAACCCUCAAGAUUUUAAGAAUGUCAGCUUUACAAAUUAAUUCGAAGUUCAGAUUGUCAUUGAAGCAUGUGUUGCUCAGUGAUAGUUAGAACCUAGAAUGAGUUGGGAUCUUCUUGAUUAUUCAACCCGCCAUUGUCAUGCUGGUUUAGCAGGCUAAAUUCAGUUGCUUAGCCGAUAAUGGAGGAUACUGAAUAGUUAGGAAUUUCCUGAACUAUGAUUUAUCAAAAGACGGA
rnacentral:lncRNA from 1 species